rnacentral:rRNA from 1 species
GGUCAAGUGAAGAAGCGCAUACGGUGGAUGCCUUGGCAGUCAGAGGCGAUGAAAGACGUGGUAGCCUGCGAAAAGCUUCGGGGAGUCGGCAAACAGACUGUGAUCCGGAGAUGUCUGAAUGGGGGAACCCAGCCAUCACAAGAUGGUUAUCUUACACUGAAUACAUAGGUGUAAGAGGCGAACCAGGGGAACUGAAACAUCUAAGUACCCUGAGGAAAAGAAAUCAACCGAGAUUCCCUUAGUAGUGGCGAGCGAACGGGGACCAGCCCUUAAGUUGUAUUGAGAUUAGCGGAACGCUCUGGAAAGUGCGGCCAUAGUGGGUGAUAGCCCUGUACGCGAAAAUCCCUUUGCAAUGAAAUCGAGUAGGACGGGGCACGAGAAACCUUGUCUGAAUAUGGGGGGACCAUCCUCCAAGGCUAAAUACUACUGACUGACCGAUAGUGAACCAGUACCGUGAGGGAAAGGCGAAAAGAACCGCGGAGAGCGGAGUGAAAUAGAUCCUGAAACCGUAUGCGUACAAGCAGUGGGAGCCCACUUUGUUGGGUGACUGCGUACCUUUUGUAUAAUGGGUCAGCGACUUAUUUUCAGUGGCGAGCUUAACCGAAUAGGGAGGCGUAGCGAAAGCGAGUCUUAAUAGGGCGUCUAGUCGCUGGGAAUAGACCCGAAACCGGGCGAUCUAUCCAUGGGCAGGUUGAAGGUUGGGUAACACUAACUGGAGGACCGAACCGACUACCGUUGAAAAGUUAGCGGAUGACCUGUGGAUCGGAGUGAAAGGCUAAUCAAGCUCGGAGAUAGCUGGUUCUCCUCGAAAGCUAUUUAGGUAGCGCCUCAUGUAUCACUGUAGGGGGUAGAGCACUGUUUCGGCUAGGGGUCAUCCCGACUUACCAAACCGAUGCAAACUCCGAAUACCUACAAGUGCCGAGCAUGGGAGACACACGGCGGGUGCUAACGUCCGUCGUGAAAAGGGAAACAACCCAGACCGUCAGCUAAGGUCCCAAAGUCAUGGUUAAGUGGGAAACGAUGUGGGAAGGCUUAGACAGCUAGGAGGUUGGCUUAGAAGCAGCCACCCUUUAAAGAAAGCGUAAUAGCUCACUAGUCGAGUCGGCCUGCGCGGAAGAUGUAACGGGGCUCAAACCAUGCACCGAAGCUACGGGUAUCACCUUUGGUGAUGCGGUAGAGGAGCGUUCUGUAAGCCUGUGAAGGUGAGUUGAGAAGCUUGCUGGAGGUAUCAGAAGUGCGAAUGCUGACAUGAGUAACGACAAUGGGUGUGAAAAACACCCACGCCGAAAGACCAAGGUUUCCUGCGCAACGUUAAUCGACGCAGGGUUAGUCGGUCCCUAAGGCGAGGCUGAAAAGCGUAGUCGAUGGAAAACAGGUUAAUAUUCCUGUACUUCUGGUUAUUGCGAUGGAGGGACGGAGAAGGCUAGGCCAGCCUGGCGUUGGUAGUCCAGGUUUAAGGUGGUAGGCUGAGAUCUUAGGUAAAUCCGGGAUCUUAAGGCCGAGAGCUGAUGACGAGUGUUCUUUUAGAACAUGAAGUGGUUGAUGCCAUGCUUCCAAGAAAAGCUUCUAAGCUUCAGGUAACCAGGAACCGUACCCCAAACCGACACAGGUGGUUGGGUAGAGAAUACCAAGGCGCUUGAGAGAACUCGGGUGAAGGAACUAGGCAAAAUGGCACCGUAACUUCGGGAGAAGGUGCGCCGGUGAGGGUGAAGCAUUUACUGCGUAAGCCCACGCCGGUCGAAGAUACCAGGCCGCUGCGACUGUUUAUUAAAAACACAGCACUCUGCAAACACGAAAGUGGACGUAUAGGGUGUGACGCCUGCCCGGUGCCGGAAGGUUAAUUGAUGGGGUUAGCGCAAGCGAAGCUCUUGAUCGAAGCCCCGGUAAACGGCGGCCGUAACUAUAACGGUCCUAAGGUAGCGAAAUUCCUUGUCGGGUAAGUUCCGACCUGCACGAAUGGCGUAACGAUGGCGGCGCUGUCUCCACCCGAGACUCAGUGAAAUUGAAAUCGCUGUGAAGAUGCAGUGUAUCCGCGGCUAGACGGAAAGACCCCGUGAACCUUUACUAUAGCUUUGCACUGGACUUUGAAUUUGCUUGUGUAGGAUAGGUGGGAGGCUUUGAAGCGUGGACGCCAGUCUGCGUGGAGCCAACCUUGAAAUACCACCCUGGCAACUUUGAGGUUCUAACUCAGGUCCGUUAUCCGGAUCGAGGACAGUGUAUGGUGGGUAGUUUGACUGGGGCGGUCUCCUCCUAAAGAGUAACGGAGGAGUACGAAGGUGCGCUCAGACCGGUCGGAAAUCGGUCGUAGAGUAUAAAGGCAAAAGCGCGCUUGACUGCGAGACAGACACGUCGAGCAGGUACGAAAGUAGGUCUUAGUGAUCCGGUGGUUCUGUAUGGAAGGGCCAUCGCUCAACGGAUAAAAGGUACUCCGGGGAUAACAGGCUGAUACCGCCCAAGAGUUCAUAUCGACGGCGGUGUUUGGCACCUCGAUGUCGGCUCAUCACAUCCUGGGGCUGAAGCCGGUCCCAAGGGUAUGGCUGUUCGCCAUUUAAAGUGGUACGCGAGCUGGGUUUAGAACGUCGUGAGACAGUUCGGUCCCUAUCUGCCGUGGACGUUUGAGAUUUGAGAGGGGCUGCUCCUAGUACGAGAGGACCGGAGUGGACGAACCUCUGGUGUUCCGGUUGUCACGCCAGUGGCAUUGCCGGGUAGCUAUGUUCGGAAAAGAUAACCGCUGAAAGCAUCUAAGCGGGAAACUUGCCUCAAGAUGAGAUCUCACUGGAACCUAGAGUUCCCUGAAGGGCCGUCGAAGACUACGACGUUGAUAGGUUGGGUGUGUAAGCGCUGUGAGGCGUUGAGCUAACCAAUACUAAUUGCCCGUGAGGCUUGACCAU